rnacentral:rRNA from 1 species
AUUGAACGCUGGCGGAAUGCUUUACACAUGCAAGUCGAGCGGCAGCGCGGGGCAACCUGGCGGCGAGCGGCGAACGGGUGAGUAACAUAUCGGAACGUACCCAGUGGUGGGGGAUAACACAUCGAAAGAUGUGCUAAUACCGCAUACGACCUGAGGGUGAAAGGGGGGGAUCGGAAGACCUCUCGCCGGUGGAGCGGCCGAUAACGGAUUAGCUAGUUGGGGAGGUAAAGGCUCACCAAGGCGACGAUCCGUAGCUGGUCUGAGAGGAUGAUCAGCCACACUGGGACUGAGACACGGCCCAGACUCCUACGGGAGGCAGCAGUGGGGAAUUUUGGACAAUGGGGGCAACCCUGAUCCAGCCAUUCCGCGUGAGUGAAGAAGGCCUUCGGGUUGUAAAGCUCUUUCGGCAGGAACGAAACGGUGUGGGCCAAUACCCCAUAUCAAUGACGGUACCUGAAGAAGAAGCACCGGCUAACUACGUGCCAGCCGCCGCAGUAAGAC